rnacentral:rRNA from 1 species
GUAUAAGAGACAGCAGCCGCCGCGGGAAAACGUAGGGUGCAAGCGUUAAUCGGAAUUACUGGGCGUAAAGCGUGCGCAGGCGGUUCGUUAAGACAGAUGUGAAAUCCCCGGGCUUAACCUGGGAACUGCAUUUGUGACUGGCGAGCUAGAGUAUGGCAGAGGGGGGUAGAAUUCCACGUGUAGCAGCGAAAUGCGUAGAGAUGUGGAGGAAUACCGAUGGCGAAGGCAGCCCCCUGGGCCAAUACUGACGCUCAUGCACGAAAGCGUGGGGAGCAAACAGGAUUAGAUACCCGUGUAGUCCCUGUCUCUUAUAC